rnacentral:rRNA from 1 species
UACAGAGGUCUCAACCGUUGUCCGGAAUCAUUGGGCGUAAAGAGCGUGUAGGCGGCUUGUUAAGUCUUGCGUGAAAUCUCGGGGCUCAACCCCGAGCGGUCGUGAGAAACUGGCAGGCUAGAGUGCGGGAGAGGAGAGUGGAAUUCCUGGUGUAGCGGUGAAAUGCGCAGAUAUCAGGAAGAACACCCGUGGCGAAGGCGGCUCUCUGGAACGCAACUGACGCUGAGACGCGGAAGCGUGGGGAGCAAACAGG